CUAGUCGCACGAGUUUAUACUCGUGGCAUAUAGCUCAGUAACACGUGGCCAAACUACCCUAUGGACAGAGAUACUCUCGGGAAACUGAGGCUAAUCUCUGAUACAGCUUCCACGCUGGAAUUACAGGAAGCUGGAAAUGCUCCGGCGCCAUAGGAUGUGGCUGCGGCCGAUUAGGUAGACGGUGGGGUAACGGCCCACCGUGCCAGUAAUCGGUACGGGUGAUGAGAGUCAGAGCCCGGAGACGGUAUCUGAGACAAGAUACCGGGCCCUACGGGGCGCAGCAGGCGCGAAACCUUUACACUGCACGACAGUGCGAUAGGGGGACUCCGAGUGCGAGGGCAUAUAGUCCUCGCUUUUCUGUACCGUAAGGUGGUACAGGAACAAGUGCUGGGCAAGACCGGUGCCAGCCGCCGCGGU
rnacentral:rRNA from 1 species